rnacentral:tRNA from 1 species
UGCAGGUGUAGCUCAGUGGUAGAGCACUCACCUAGUGUGCUAGAGGCUCUGAGUCCAACUCCCAGCAUUGCAA